AGCCACCACUGAACCACACUUCGAAGUAUGGUUAUGUAUUUCAAGAUGCACAGUAAAACUGCACUUGGAAGUGCACCUCCACUUAACCGCAGUUCGAAAUGUGGUUAUGAUUAUUAAGAUGCACAGUAAAAUCGCACUUGGAAGUGUGCCACCACUUGACCAAAUUUCGAAAUGUGGUUAUGGAUUUUAAGAUGCACAGUGAAACCGCACUUGGAUGUGCGCCACCACUUAACCAUAGUUCAAACUGCGGAUAGGGUU
rnacentral:lncRNA from 1 species